ACCACACUAUCGUAUACCAGUGUGCACCAAUGUAUUAAGAAACGUAAUAAAAAUUUUAAAAUAAAAUUCAAGAUUGUCAUUAAAAAUAAUUGACACAAAUUUUUUUUUUUAUUUUCAUUUAAAUUUUGGUAAAAUAUUUAAAAAUUUAUAAUAAUUUUAUUGUUAUUAAAAAUAAAACCUCGUGUUUUCUAUACGUUGAAAAAAAAUGGAGCCAUUAGAUGUAGAAGAGACAAUUAUCCAGCUCAAUAGAAACGAUCUAGUUUUUAUUGGGUGUCAAAUCGAGGAAGGGUGGGUGGCUGUGCCACUGGACUGGACAACGAACCGUGGUUAUAUUUAUUAUGGGAAAGAUUACGAUGUUGUCCAGUGGAGUCGAAACCCCAAUCAUCCUCGUCCUAUCAAGAAAUGGCCAAUUCUGGACCACGACGGGAUAUUUUUUAAGUAAGGUUAACAAAUAUGUGGACAAUAUCUCAACACUUCUAUAUGAUUGGACGUAAUCAUAAUGGAUAAGGUUAUUUUUCUUGUUGAUGGUCAGAAAUGUCAUCGCCAUAUGUACUGUAUUAAAAAGAAAAAGAGCAGAUGGGGAAGGAGGCUGCCUUCAGGGCGAUUAAAACUUACUUACGUAGGCACCACGAGACCUAUAAGUAGGCGCAAAUCGAAAAGAGAAAAAAAAAAAAAGGAAAAGGAGAAGGGAGUGAAGAGGUAAAGGAAUAGGUGAAGGAAGAGCCGGCAGAGUAAAAUUUUUUUAUUUUCAAUUUAUUAUUUUUUUUUUAUCAUAAAUGUCAGUUGACUAAUCUUCAAUAUUAUUAUGAACACACGUAAAGUAGACAAAUUGCGUGAUGACCACUAUUUUCCUCCAUUUUUGUUUUAUUAUUAAACAACUAGAUGAAAAUAGAGAACAAAAGAAAAUUAUUAGGUUUUUAGACCUACACAACCAUGUUAAUGUCAUGUCAGGUCAUGUCGAGGUCAUCUCGAGGUCGUACUUCUGACUAUCAAUCGGUGUUGCUAAACAAAAGAAGUCAGCAUUUGUUUUUCUACAUUUUGUGAUAUUUUGUUAAUUUUCUAACUUAGAUUAAAAAAUGUUAUUAUUUUUAGACUACAUAAUUAUAAUUCAAGUAUAAAUUUAUUCUGAACAAAGUAUUACAAUGAAGAAUAUAUUAUUUAUUAAUUUAUAAUACAAACACGAUGAUUUAA